AAUAGAUACCCAGGUGGUCCACGCCCUAAACUAUGUCAACUAGUUGUCGGGGAAGAAAUUCCUUGGUAACGCAGCUAACGCGUGAAGUUGACCGCCUGGGGAGUACGGCCGCAAGGUUAAAACUCAAAGGAAUUGACGGGGACCCGCACAAGCGGUGGAUUAUGUGGAUUAAUUCGAUGCGACGCGAAAAACCUUACCUACCCUUGACAUGUACGGAAUUCCGCAGAGAUGUGGAAGUGCCCGAAAGGGAACCGUAACACAGGUGCUGCAUGGCUGUCGUCAGCUCGUGUCGUGAGAUGUUGGGUUAAGUCCCGCAACGAGCGCAACCCUUGCCAUUAGUUGCUACAUUCAGUUGGGCACUCUAAUGGGACCGCCGGUGACAAACCGGAGGAAGGUGGGGAUGACGUCAAGUCCUCAUGGCCCUUAUGGGUAGGGCUUCACACGUAAUACAAUGGUCGGUACAGAGGGCUGCCAACCCGCAAGGGGGAGCUAAUCCCAGAAAGCCGAUCGUAGUCCGGAUUGUAGUCUGCAACUCGACUGCAUGAAGCCGG
rnacentral:rRNA from 1 species